GCGGCAGGCCUACACAUGCAAGUCGAACGGUAACAUGACUAGCUUGCUAGUUGAUGACGAGUGGCGGACGGGUGAGUAACGCGUAGGAAUCUACCCAGUAGCGGGGGAUAAGCCAGAGAAAUUUGGUCUAAUACCGCAUACGCCCUUCGGGGGAAAGCAGGGGAUCUUCGGACCUUGCACUAUUGGAUGAGCCUGCGUGAGAUUAGCUUGUUGGUGAGGUAAUGGCUCACCAAGGCGACGAUCUCUAGCUGGUCUGAGAGGAUGAUCUGCCACACUGGAACUGAGACACGGUCCAGACUCCUACGGGAGGCAGCAGUGGGGAAUAUUGCACAAUGGGCGCAAGCCUGAUGCAGCCAUGCCGCGUGUGUGAAGAAGGCCCUAGGGUUGUAAAGCACUUUCAGCAGUGAGGAAAGGUUAGUAGUUAAUACCUGCUAACUGUGACGUUAACUGCAGAAGAAGCACCGGCUAACUCCGUGCCAGCAGCCGCGGUAAUACGGAGGGUGCGAGCGUUAAUCGGAAUUACUGGGCGUAAAGCGCGCGUAGGUGGAUUGGUCAGUCAGAUGUGAAAGCCCAGGGCUCAACCUUGGAACUGCACCUGAUACUGCCAAUCUA
rnacentral:rRNA from 1 species